rnacentral:rRNA from 1 species
AUGGCGUCCAAGUCUAGCAUCACCCACCUCCUCUUGGCCGCCGUCCUGGUCUCCGUCUUCGCCGCCGCCGCAGCCACAGGCCCGUAUUGCUACCCGGGGAUGGGUCUUCCGAGCAACCCGCUUGAAGGCUGCCGGGAGUAUGUCGCACAGCAAACUUGUGGCGUCGGCAUCGUCGGGUCGCCGGUAUCCACCGAGCCGGGGAACACCCCGAGGGAUCGGUGCUGCAAGGAGCUUUACGACGCCUCGCAGCAUUGCCGGUGCGAGGCGGUGCGCUACUUCAUAGGGCGGACGUCUGAUCCCAAUUCCGGCGUGCUCAAGGACCUUCCCGGAUGCCCCAGGGAGCCCCAGAGGGACUUCGCCAAGGUGCUCGUUACGCCGGGGCACUGCAACGUGAUGACCGUUCACAACACCCCAUACUGCCUCGGUUUGGACAUAU